rnacentral:rRNA from 1 species
AUUGAACGCUGGCGGCAGGCCUAACACAUGCAAGUCGAGCGGAUGAGGAGAGCUUGCUCUCUGAUAUAGCGGCGGACGGGUGAGUAAUGCCUAGGAAUCUGCCUGGUAGUGGGGGAUAACGUCCGGAAACGGGCGCUAAUACCGCAUACGUCCUACGGGAGAAAGCAGGGGACGUUCGGGCCUUGCGCUAUCAGAUGAGCCUAGGUCGGAUUAGCUAGUUGGGGAGGUAAUGGCUCAACAAGGCUACGAUCCGUAACUGGUCGGGGAGGAUGAUCAGUCACACUGGAACUGAAACACGGUCCAGACUCCUACGGGGGGCAGCAGUGGGGAAUAUUGGACAAUGGGCGAAAGCCUGAUCCAGCCAUGCCGCGUGUGUGAAGAAGGUCUUCGGAUUGUAAAGCACUUUAAGUUGGGAGGAAGGGCAGUAAGUUAAUACCUUGCUGUUUUGACGUUACCGACAGAAUAAGCACCGUCUAACUUCGUGCCAGCAGCCGCCGUAACAC